CCGUGAAGUUCCCAAAGAACAGACCAAAGCAGCUACAUCAAAGAAAGAAGCUGAAGUUUCCAAAGAAAAAGCCAAACCAACUCCUGCAAAUGAAGAUGUCGCAGUUAUUAAAGAAAAGGUGAAAUCAGCCCCUGCAAAGAAAGAAGCUGAAGUUCA